AGUGAACGCUGGCGGUAGGCCUAACACAUGCAAGUCGAACGGCAGCACAGUAAGAGCUUGCUCUUACGGGUGGCGAGUGGCGGACGGGUGAGGAAUACAUCGGAAUCUACUUUUUCGUGGGGGAUAACGUAGGGAAACUUACGCUAAUACCGCAUACGACCUACGGGUGAAAGCAGGGGACCUUCGGACCUUGCGCGAUUGAAUGAGCCGAUGUCGGAUUAGCUAGUUGGCGGGGUAAAGGCCCACCAAGGCGACGAUCCGUAGCUGGUCUGAGAGGAUGAUCAGCCACACUGGAACUGAGACACGGUCCAGACUCCUACGGGAGGCAGCAGUGGGGAAUAUUGGACAAUGGGCGCAAGCCUGAUCCAGCCAUGCCGCGUGGGUGAAGAAGGCCUUCGGGUUGUAAAGCCCUUUUGUUGGGAAAGAAAAGCAGCAGGUUAAUACCCCGCUGUUCUGACGGUACCCAAAGAAUAAGCACCGGCUAACUUCGUG
rnacentral:rRNA from 1 species